GCCCGGCUGGCUCAGUCAGUGGAACGUGCGACUCUUGAUCUCAGGGUUGUGAGUUCAAGCCCCACGUUGGGUG
rnacentral:tRNA from 1 species